AACAAUGGGCGAAAGCCUGAUCCAGCCAUGCCGCGUGUGUGAAGAAGGUCUUCGGAUUGUAAAGCACUUUAAGUUGGGAGGAAGGGCAGUAAAUUAAUACUUUGCUGUUUUGACGUUACCGACAGAAUAAGCACCGGCUAACUCUGUGCCAGCAGCCGCGGUAAUACAGAGGGUGCAAGCGUUAAUCGGAAUUACUGGGCGUAAAGCGCGCGUAGGUGGUUCGUUAAGUUGGAUGUGAAAUCCCCGGGCUCAACCUGGGAACUGCAUUCAAAACUGACGAGCUAGAGUAUGGUAGAGGGUGGUGGAAUUUCCUGUGUAGCGGUGAAAUGCGUAGAUAUAGGAAGGAACACCAGUGGCGAAGGCGACCACCUGGACUGAUACUGACACUGAGGUGCGAAAGCGUGGGGAGCAAACAGGAUUAGAUAC
rnacentral:rRNA from 1 species